CCUCUUUAAGCCCAUAAACUAUGAUUCUUAGAAGAAAUUAGAAACCCAAUUUUUAAUUCAUAAUUUCGUAUUCCUAAGACCCAAACUAAAUCUCAAAUUCAGCAAAAAGAGCACAAUCAAAUCAAGCUUCCAAUUCAACCGUUCCCAAUAAAGUGUAAUCUAAAUUAAACCAUAUCCAAUCAAGAAACUGAACAAGUCCAGAGAAAUCCAAAAUCAGCGUAGCAGUUGAAAAAGCAGAAACAUAGUAAUACUUCACUAAAAAACUUAUAGCCUAAACUAACGAAAUCGUAGAUAUGAAAAAAUAGAGAGCAAAUGAGGAGCUGACCUCGAGAAAAAGAAGGCUUGAAAAGUACGAACACCGAAAGACGCCGGUUCGGUCCAAAUCUCUCCAUCCCUUGAAGCCUUAUUCUAAGGGUUUGUUUGGCUAUACACUUCAGGCAAAAUACAUUUGAACGAGAAAAGAAGAUUCAAAUUUUUUACACAAGCGCAUCAAGAAUCAACUAUAAGAACUAAUUAGUUCGAAAAAAAUCACCCGACAGCAAAAGGCACCAGUCGUCGAUUCCACCAAUCAGCUGUCUAUACAGAAUCUCUCCCCAAUGAACCUCCACCUCUCAAAGGUCGAAGGUUGAAGUUGGUUCGCCACUCACAAGUCCAAGCUCGAAGUUGAAAUCAACAUUUUCUUUUGUUGGAUUAUGCAUAUUUGAAGGAAGAAGAUCGACCAGCCACAACAUCAACUUUAUCUCUGGAUUAUCGUUUUAUUUGUUGAUUUUCAGAUUUGAGGAUCUUCUGACUUUUAGGAGUAACUAAGGGUUUCAUUUAAUUGUUGAGAGAAGAGCGCGUCUUUCACUUGAACUGUAGAAGAACUAGUUUUGGAAGGACCUGAGGAUCGACAGCCUCUCUUUGG
rnacentral:lncRNA from 1 species